CGCGAAAGUCCCGCAAGGGAUGAGUAGAGUGGCAAACGGGUGAGUAACACGUGGGUGACCUGCCCUCGAGCGGGGGAUAACGUCCCGAAAGGGACGCUAAUACCGCAUGACAUCCUGCUUUUGAACAGGCGGAGAUCAAAGCUGGGGAUCGCAAGACCUAGCACUCGAGGAGGGGCCCGCGCCUGAUUAGCUAGUUGGUGAGGUAACGGCUCACCAAGGCUUCGAUCAGUAUCUGGCCUGAGAGGGCGGACGGACACACUGGGACUGAGACACGGCCCAGACUCCUACGGGAGGCAGCAGUGGGGAAUUGUUCGCAAUGGGCGCAAGCCUGACGACGCAACGCCGCGUGGAGGAUGAAGACCUUCGGGUCGUAAACUCCUUUCGAUCGAGACGAAUGGCCUCCGGGUGAACAAUCCGGAGGAGUGACGGUACCGAGAGAAGAAGCCCCGGCUAACUCCGUGCCAGCAGCCGCGGUAAUACGGGGGGGGCAAGCGUUGUUCGGAAUUACUGGGCGUAAAGGGCUCGUAGGUGGCCAAUUAAGUCAGACGUGAAAUCCCUCGGCUUAACCGGGGAACUGCAUCUGAUACUGGAUGGCUUGAGUUCGGGAGAGGGAUGCGGAAUUCCAGGUGUAGCGGUGAAAUGCGUAGAUAUCUGGAGGAACACCGGUGGCGAAGGCGGCAUCCUGGACCGACACUGACGCUGAGGAGCGAAAGCCAGGG
rnacentral:rRNA from 1 species